rnacentral:lncRNA from 1 species
AGGGCAUAAAUGAUAUUAAAAACUUCCAGCGAAGAAGAUUGAAACCGUUUGAUGUGAGAAAAACUAUUCACUGGGAAACAGAGUAUCUUUUACACCAAUUGAUCAGCGAUAUUUUUUUCGGUUAGACCCAAGUAAGGGAUUAGGGCCACCACUUGACGGGUGUGCGUUUUGCAAACAAUUACCCCACAUGGGUGGAGGGGGGUGAGGGUGUUGGGGGGGGGGGGUGGGUGAUGUUAGGGUCCACCCACUUUGGGGUAAUUUUCCCGAUCUCGCCCCCCCGAACAUUGGCUACAAUUUUGAUUUAUUGGUUUGACCAACUUUUUUCCAAGGGAUGUUCUCUCCCAAUGUUGAUUUGUUUCUUCCUGAGCUUUUGAGCUCCCAAGAAAAUCCUUCAAUGGCUAAGUUAAUUGUUUCUCAAAAUUGUAUUUUUCAUGCCUAUAUAAACCCUCUAGUAUAAGCUGUGUGGUGGUGGUGAAAAAAAGAAAAGAAAAAGAGGAGAGAAGGAGUGAAAACAGAUAAGUGAGGAAUGUGAGGGAGAAAAUAAAAUACAAAAUGUGCUAGAGCUCUAGGUUGGGUAUUUUUAUUUUCUCAUUGUAAUUAAUCAUAUUAGUGGAUUUCUCUUUCUUCCGUGGACGUAAGCAAGUUAGUGCCAAACCAUCUUGUGUUCUCUAUUUUAUUUUGUGUAUUUUAAUUUGUGUGCUUUCGUUGUGGGUGGGACCGUUUUUUCCAACACUGCAACAAAAGAGAAUAGAUAUAUACCUGCCCAUUGCAGCAUAAGUUGCAGCAAGAUUGCCAUAUACCCCUAGUGUCUCGUGAUAGUCUGGUCCGUACUCACUCUCCAAAACACUCCUUGCUUCUUCAAACAACCCCACCGCCUCAUUUAUCGUGAAAAGUUGAACACAAGCAAGACCCAUUUGGUUCAGAGCAACGCCAAAGAGAGGCGAUUUCUUCUCUCCAUUUUCCCGGAACUUUGAGAUGGAAUUUUUGAAUGACUUCUAGGAAUUAGAAUAAUUCCCCAUCAUAUAGUACUUUACCCCCAUCUGGGCUUCGAUUCCUGCAACCGUGCUUUGCCUAUCUGGUAACUUUCCGUACACGUUCAAGGCCUUUCGAAGCAAUUUGAUAGCCCGCUCCGACUCAUUCAUAGACUCAAAUAUAGCAUAAACAUCAAUGAGACCACUAACAAUCUCUUCCGAAGGUCUUCCAGGUCUCGGCUUUGCAUAUAUACUAAGUGCAUUCUCACAGUAGGAUUAGGAUUGCCUAAAUUUUCCAAUCUUGUCGUACAAAUCCACCAAACGGACAAAGACUGAAGCAACUGAAGGAUGAUUCUCUCCUUUAGUUGACUUAAACGUCGUGAGUGACUUUUGGUAAGCAAAAAUAGCCUCAUAAUAUCGAGCCAACGAUAAAUACGAAUCACCAAUAUUGCAGUCAGUCGAAGAUACUUCGAUUUCCUUCUUGUUAGCUGCCAUUGCCAUACUUGCGAGAACAUAAUGCUCGAGAGCAGCUUCGUGAUCACCCUUCGAGUCCAAAAUAAGCCCCAUAAGUCUCCUGUCAGCCUCUUCUUUGGGAGAGGCCGGGGAGGCAUUCUGUUUAUGGUUGUCGAGGGCGACAUUACAAAGCUUCUAAGCCUCGUCGAAUUGGAAUGCUUGGACAUGGGCUUCAGCUACGUGCCUACAUGUCUCUCCAAAUAGGGGUUAUUUUCUUUGAGUAUCUGUCUUUGUAUUUCCAAGCCUGCAGUGUAUCACAGUAACAAAUUCUCGAUUUGCCCCAACAUCACAUAUGUAUCUCCCAACUGCAUACACCAGCGAAUUUGGCAAGCGCGUGGUUUGGGCCUUCAUCAAUCACUGGGAUUUCGACUGAACGCUCAAGAAAUGGAAUCGCUUCGGUGUACGUGUCUAAACUACAAUAUAAUGCUGCUACAGCAUGCAGAUACAUGACUAGCUCCAAGUUUGGUUUCUCAAUUACAUCGCCGAGUGAUCUCAUCGCUCAGAGAGCCAAUUCAAGGGAUUUCCGAGGAUUCUCCCCCGAGGAAACCAAGUCCCUCGUUUGUUUAAGUAAAUGUGACCCAAUAAUUGAAUUCCGUGUUCUUGAAAAUGUUUUCACAUCCCUCUUAACAGAAGGUCUCUCGCGAAAAGAUUUGCUUCACGGGCUUAGUUUUCGACUUGCUUCAUAGUCCGAUGGCACCCGAAAAAGCCUCUUAGAAAACAACCUAGCACUUGCUAAAUGGAUCUUACUUGUGUUUCUAAUUUCAAACAUUAUUCAUAAUCCCAUUUUGUGCCUCAAAGACAAUAUUUCCAAAUUCAUUAUUCUCCUCCACCACGACCUCUUUCCUCAAUUCCGAAUCAAUCCUCAACUCCUCACCGUAAGACAGAAAGCUAAGCCUCGAUGGGAACUGAUCCGAGCUCUCCAUCUCACAAACUGCUCGAUAGAGGUGUCAAUAUCUCCACCGAGAACUAGGUCAAUAGACUCACUCUCAGGCUGUGAGUGCUCCAUGGGUUUCUAGGUGACCUCUGUGUGGAAAUUUCCUUGUGGGGCAUGUAGUUUCCACUGUGUUCUCUUCCCAAAUUAUUUCCAUUUAAUCCAACCAUGGCCAAUUCUGUCAUCUGGGCAGAGUUUCAGUUAGCAAGAAAUUAUGUAAUUUCCCAAGAAAAGAAGAAAACAACAACUACCUUCCUUUAGGAUGUGUCUGGAUGAAGAAUUUGGUGGGGAAAGAUCCAACUAUUUGGGACCGUUCCAUCCUCUAACUUUUCCCUCACCAAAUCCUUAAUCCAAACGCAGCCUUAAGAAUAUCAAAUGAAUGCAGAAUAUAACUGAGUUAACCUAAGAAUGAAUCAGUUCACAGUGACAUGUUCCAUUCACAAGUUUGUUUCUACGGACCCAUUCUCGAUGUAUGUACAAGAAAUCAGAGAAUAAAACCCAGAAGAGAGGGGAAUUCCAA